UGCAGUGUUGUACUUGCACAUGUAAUGCUGCGCAAGAAGGUACACAUACUCGGGCCAGGCCAUGAGCCGACUCACUAUGAUGAAGCCUGACGCUAAGUUGGAUCACACUGGGGCUUCAAUGAUAUGCUCUGCCCGGUGGCCUCCAGGAUCAGCCUCGACUCAUGAAGAACACCCAAGGGACCUGACUUAAUGAU